AUGAGCGGGAGGGGUGGUGCCGGAUGGGGAAGCUGGAUGCGAUGUCGGAUGCAGCACAAGUCAGGCCGGCCGUAUCAAAUUUUUAGGUUUACCCACUUUCCGUUGCUUUGCGCUUCUAAUUCGAUACUUUUACACAAGGUAAUCAAAAACAGAUCAAGAUUCAACCGGAAUAGAUAUAGGUUUAAAGUUUAA